CCUACGGGUGGCAGCAGUCGAGAAUCAUUCACAAUGGGGGAAACCCUGAUGGUGCGACGCCGCGUGGGGGAAUGAAGGUCUUCGGAUUGUAAACCCCUGUCAUGUGGGAGCAAAUUAAAAAGAUAGUACCACAAGAGGAAGAGACGGCUAACUCUGUGCCAGCAGCCGCGGUAAUACAGAGGUCUCAAGCGUUGUUCGGAAUCACGGGGCGUAAAGGGUGCGUAGGCUGUUUCGUAAGUCGUGUGUGAAAGGCGCGGGCUCAACCCGCGGACGGCACAUGAUACUGCGAGACUAGAGUAAUGGAGGGGGAACCGGAAUUCUCGGUGUAGCAGUGAAAUGCGUAGAUAUCGAGAGGAACACUCGUGGCGAAGGCGGGUUCCUGGACAUUAACUGACGCUGAGGCACGAAGGCCAGGGGAGCGAAAGGGAUUAGAUACCCCAGUAGUC
rnacentral:rRNA from 1 species